UACAGAGGUCCCAAGCGUUGUUCGGAUUCAUUGGGCGUAAAGGGUGCGUAGGCGGCGCGGUAAGUCGGGUGUGAAAUCUCGGGGCUUAACUCCGAAACUGCAUUCGAUACUGCGGUGCUUGAGGACUGGAGAGGAGACUGGAAUUCAUGGUGUAGCAGUGAAGUGCGGUAGAGAUCAUGAGGAAGACCAGUGGCGAAGGCGGGUCUCUGGACAGUUCCUGACACUGAGACACGAAGGCCAGGGGGAGCAAAACGGG
rnacentral:rRNA from 1 species